rnacentral:rRNA from 1 species
CAGCACGGGGGGUAACCCCUGGUGGCGAGUGGCGAACGGGUGAGUAAUACAUCGGAACGUAUCCUGUAGCGGGGGAUAACCUCUCGAAAGAGAGGCUAAUACCGCAUACGACCUACGGGUGAAAGAGGGGGAUCGCAAGACCUCUCACUAUUGGAGCGGCCGAUGUCGGAUUAGCUAGUUGGUGGGGUAAAAGCCUACCAAGGCUACGAUCCGUAGCUGGUCUGAGAGGACGACCAGCCACACUGGAACUGAGACACGGUCCAGACUCCUACGGGAGGCAGCAGUGGGGAAUUUUGGACAAUGGGCGCAAGCCUGAUCCAGCUAUGCCGCGUGGGUGAAGAAGGCCUUCGGGUUGUAAAGCCCUUUCGGCUGGGACGAAAAGGUCCGUGUUAACACCACGGACUCAUGACGGUACCAGCAGAAGAAGCACCGGCUAACUACGUGCCAGCAGCCGCGGUAAUACGUAGGGUGCAGGCGUUAAUCGGAAUUACUGGGCGUAAAGCGUGCGCAGGCGGUCUGCUAAGAGAGAUGUGAAAUCCCCGGGCUUAACCUGGGAACUGCGUUUCUAACUGGCAGGCUUGAGUGUGGCAGAGGGGGGUGGAAUUCCACGUGUAGCAGUGAAAUGCGUAGAGAUGUGGAGGAACACCGAUGGCGAAGGCAGCCCCCUGGGCUAACACUGACGCUCAUGCACGAAAGCGUGGGGAGCAAACAGGAUUAGAUACCCUGGUAGUCCACGCCCUAAACUAUGUCAACUGGUUGUCGGGGAAGCAAUUCCUUGGUAACGAAGCUAACGCGUGAAG